rnacentral:rRNA from 1 species
UACGUAGGGUGCAAGCGUUGUCCGGAAUUAUUGGGCGUAAAGAGCUCGUAGGCGGUCUGUCGCGUCUGCUGUGAAAACUCGGGGCUUAACCCCGGGCCUGCAGUGGGUACGGGCAGACUAGAGUGCGGUAGGGGAGACUGGAAUUCCUGGUGUAGCGGUGAAAUGCGCAGAUAUCAGGAGGAACACCGGUGGCGAAGGCGGGUCUCUGGGCCGUAACUGACGCUGAGGAGCGAAAGCGUGGGGAGCGAGCAGG